CCUACGGGGGGCUGCAGUGGGGGAUAUUGCACAAUGGGGGGAACCCUGAUGCAGCGACGCCGCGUGGGUGAAGGAGCGUUUCGGCGCGUAAAGCCCUAUCGGCAGGGAAGAAGGAGGACGGUACCUGACUAAGAAGCGCCGGCUAACUACGUGCCAGCAGCCGCGGUGAUACGUAGGGGGCGGGGGUUAUCCGGAUUUACUGGGUGUAACGGGGGCGCAGACGGCAGCGCAAGCCAGGAGUGAAAGCCCGGGGGCCAACCCCGGGACUGCACUUGGAACUGGGCGGCUGGAGUGAAGGAGGGGCAGGCGGAAUGCCUGGGGUAGCGGUGAAAUGCGUAGAUAUCAGGAGGAACACCGGUGGCGAAGGCGGCCUGCUGGACUGCGACUGACGUUGAGGCCCGAAAGCGUGGGGAGCAAACAGGAUUAGAUACCCGUGUAGUC
rnacentral:rRNA from 1 species